rnacentral:rRNA from 1 species
GACGAACGCUGGCGGCGUGCUUAACACAUGCAAGUCGUACGGUAAGGCCCUUUCGGGGGGGCACGAGUGGCGAACGGGAGAGUAACACGUGAGUAACCUGCCCACCACUUUGGGAUAAAGCUCGGUAACUGGUGCCAAUUCUUGACAUGUGCUCCUGCUGCAUGGUGGGGGUUUGAAAGCUCGGGCGGUUGUGGAUGGACGCGCGGCCUAUCGGCUUGUUGGUGGGGUAGUGGCCUACCAAGGCGGCGUCGGGUGGCCGGCCUGAGGGGGUGACCGGCCAAAUUGGGACGGGGAAACGGCCAAGACUCCACGGGGAGGCAGCAGUGGGGAAUAUUGCAAAAGGGGGACAAGCCUGAUGCAGGACCGCCGCGGGCGGGAGGACGGCAUUAGGGUUGUAAACCGCGUUCAGCAGGGACGAAGCUUUUUGUGACGUUACCUGCAGAAGAAGCACCGGCUAACUACGUG